UACAGGGGGGGCAAGCGUUGUUCGGAAUUACUGGGCGUAAAGGGCUCGUAGGCGGCCAUCUAAGUCAUACGUGAAAUCCCCAGGCUCAACCUGGGAACUGCGUGUGAUACUGGAUGGCUUGAAUUCGGGAGAGGGAUGCAGAAUUCCAGGUGUAGCGGUGAAAUGCGUAGAUAUCUGGAGGAAUACCGGUGGCGAAGGCGGCAUCCUGGACCGACAUUGACGCUGAUGAGCGAAAGCUAGGGGAGCAAACGGG
rnacentral:rRNA from 1 species